rnacentral:lncRNA from 1 species
CCCAUAUAUUAAGUAUUCCUUCUACUGCCAUUAUAAUUACUCUAUGAAUUGAGCCCUUAGCACACAGUCCUAGCAACCACUAGACCAUCGAGUAGGUAAGUCAGUAUCUAAAGUUGAACAUGAGAAAGAUUAAUUAGUAGGUUCCGAACUGACGACACAAAUCUAUUCAGUAUUUCUGCUAGGAUUGUUCAGGAAUACAGAGAAGAAAGAAUGACAAAAUUCCACAUUAAAAUUUGUGGUAUGAUUUGAUGUACACCCAUACCUAUUACUAGGUAGGUACAAUUCCUGUCACCUAUGAUAUGAUGCCAAACCAUAAUAUUAAUCAAAAAUUUAUGAACUGCCAUAGAAAUAGUUUUCUUAUUUUUACGUGCGCCUAGUAAUUAGUAUACAACGUUUAGUUUUUCGUACGAGUACAGUUAGGCCGAUUUUAACACAUGAAAUUUUAUUAAGAUUUAUAUCAUGUCAUUAAAUUGGUUAAAUAGUUUUAACCCUUUUUCUUAAUCCUGUAUUGAGGCUGUUCUUGUAGUUACUUAGUGAAUAGUGUUACACCACGAAUACGUGAGAGUAAGAAAUCUUGUGAUAAGGCAACACUGUAAACAAAUUACGAAUAAUACGUCGAUUUUAAUUUUAAAUUUAAAGUUAUUUGAGUCCUAGUAUAUCCCAUAAUUAAAUAUCUUGUAAUAGAUCGUUUCUUCGAAGGUAUACAAAUAGCUUCAUUAACUCAACGUUUACAUAUCUCUUUUCCCCUUAAUAAUUGUCAAGCAUACUAAGGUUAUUUUUUUUAGGAAAUCUGUGUGUAAUAUCUUUCUAAAUGUUGUACUUGCCACCAAUUUGCACAAAACAUUAUGUUGCACCAAAACUUACAAAGUUACGAGUAAAUACGUUGUCAUGUAGAUAAGUAGAGUAUUUUGUUAUGUAAUUAGUAAUUAGAGGAGUUAGGAAAAGUUCACACCGAUUAAACCUUAUAAACAUACGUGUAGUCAUAUAUUUUUAUUUAAAUCUAUUUCUCUGUAUGUUAUCUACUUACUUACAAAAUAUGCAUUCGAGGUUGAUAUUAUCUCAUACCUAAUAUUCGAAAAUAAUAAUUUAUUAGACAAAAAUAAGUAAUGGUUCGUUUGUAGAAGCUUUGGAAGUAUAAAGGGUUCUUUGCACUGCUAAGGAAUAUUUAAAUUUCAAUUAUUAAAGAAGGAUUGUGUAAGUAGGUACCUUAACUUAAACUGUAGUCUAUAUCAAGUUUGUAGAUUACAUUUGUCGUUUAGAUACUUUACUCAAAUUGUAGAUUUAUAGCAUUUAAGAAAAUAAGUACCUAUAUUUAAAUUAAGUUGUUAUAAUUUUUUAGAUAACUUUAUUUUGAUAACUAUCAUGUUUUAUCCCGUAGCACCGAAUUUAUAAAUGAACCUACCUGAAAUUUGUAUGAUAUUGGAAUAGUAGUUGACCUAUUUGUUUUUAAAUAGGUACCUACCCGUUUAGUUGUCCAAACAUACAUAGGGUUGUUGGUACAGUACUGUAGGUCGAUAUAAUUGAGUAGAGGCGCGCGGGUGCUCGGCACUGCGGCCACGGCUGCAGCCAGGAGCGGUGACAGACGACACUUGACACUCACCGAUACAGGGCAAUAUGGAUAUUGUGUAUUUCCAAAAUACGUAUGUUUCUACGUGACAAUUAAACGCCUAAAUUGAUUAGCAUAUUGUUGUUGAACUUGAUGUAUUUUAGAGAAUUAUUGAUCAAAUCGAUGUUAUAUAGAUGUUUAUUGUAAAUAUUAGCUUUAAUUGAAGCCAAAGAAGUAUGGAAUGGUCUAGAGUGUUAUAGAAGGCUGUAUUUUUGGGUGAUAUUUUAGAACGAAGGCAUCAUAUCUUUCAUACAAUAUAUAAAAAAAUAACAUGAUAUACCUAAUAACAGAUAUGAGAUGAGAUGGACAUAGAAAAGGUAAUGAUGUGAUAAAUGCAAAUGGAUUUUAGUUUUAGUGUUGUUGUGCUAUUAAUAAAAUAUGUUCAAAUGUGGUUA